AGGGCGAAUGUCAUGUGCGAUAGUAUUUGCUCUGUGCCCGGCGAGAGCGAGAAUAACUGUACUCGAGGGCAUGCCCGAAAGGUGUACUUCAUAUCGAAUUAAUUCUACCUGAGAGAACAGGAAAAUUGAUACAAUAACAAAUUAUGAUUGAAGAAUAGAUCAUUUCGUUUCGUUUAACUUUGCCAUCAAGUAAACAUUAUUUCCGUGUGUAGUUUUUAGAUGUUGAUUAAAAUUUAAGUUUCUGACUUAAUAUAAAAUAUGUACAAAAUUUGAAGUCACUAUUUUACAAAAUUCAACAGUAUAUCUCGCUUUCGUCUACCACUAACAAGUGAGUUAAAAAAUUGUAUUUUAAUUAAAGAAAUAAAUGUAGCCAAGAU